rnacentral:other from 1 species
UAUUUCCUGAGAUGUUCGACAACCUGUUAUUUUGAACCUACAUCAUUUAUAAGGGAGUUCCACACGUCAGAAGGGAUGUCAUGCCUAAGACUUUGGUCUUUUAGGAAGACAAAAGCUCUGCUACGAACACCCACCUAGCUUGGCUAGGUGUCAAAAUGCAGGAACGGCAUUUCGGGUCAUAC